GGCUGGAAGGAUUUGGUUGGGGAUUGGUCCUACUUUGAGCAGGGGGUUGGACUAGAUGACCUCCUGAGGUCCCUUCCAACCCUGAUAUUCUAGGAUUCUAUGAAUGGGGAAGUCAGCUAGCCAAGGCUGCAUCUGACAUGUGCGGUAAAAACUCACUCCUUUCUGGUUGGGAUUGUUGUUCACACUUUAUACAAAAUAGGUUUAUAGACACAAUUUUACAACGAAGUUCUCAUCUACCAACAUUUUUUCCCACUUGCCUCUACAGAAUCCAUUCAGGAACUCUCUCCAGUAUGGAGUCUUGCUAUAUCCAAGUGGUCUGUACGAGGGUUUAACGAUACACUGCGUACACACAGGAAAGGCAUUCAUACAUUCAUUACAGAUAGUCCCCUUCCCACCAAAAAUAGUGUCAGUACUUUACGUUUUCAAGGUUAUUACAAUAAAGCUGGGACCACAGAUACUCUAUGCACACUGCCACGGGCACAGGUUCCACACGGUGGAAAGCGCUGGGAGUACAUUAUGCUGUGGAUCAAGUGCCGCUAAGAACCCACUUUUUUCUGCCUCAUGCUAGUGCAGAAAUGUGCCCGACACUAGUGGUGCUUAACCUUGAGAGUUAUCCUUUGGAUUGGCACCAACAUUUGACUAAGGAAAUCUCUUGCUCAUCUCUUGAAAGAAAAAACUUUCAGAGAGCAAGGUCAGAGGAAAAUACAAGCAGAACUUCACUUUGGCUUAAGCCAGCUUCAUGUACUUAACUGUUCAUAUUCACAGAUGUUCAACACAGGAUAGGAUUGUGGUCAGACAGACAGAGUGGACUGCUUUGAGUUCCAUAAUGUUCACUGGUGCUUUACAACAUGCUCUCCAGGAUGUAAACCAAUAUUCAAGUCCUCCUUUACGGAAAGCAGAGAAGGAGGCAAGGUCUAGUGGUGUGAGGACAGGAAUGUGAGCCAGAAACCCCAGAGUACUAUUUCCAGUUUUCAUGUGGACUUUGGACAAGACACUUGGGGUCAGAUUUUUGAGUGCACUCUGCUCUCAUUUAGGGACUUGAUUUAGUUGGGGUGGUCCUGCUUUGAGCAGGGGGUUGGACCAGAUGACCUCCUGAGGUCCCUUCCAACCCUGAUAUUCUAUGAUUCUAUGAUUUAAAUAAAAAGUCAGAUUUUCAAGAGUGCUCAGCUCUCUGUAGCUUCCAUUUGCUGGGCUCUUUUGAAAAUCCAGUUCUCACUAUGGGUGCUGAGCAGUGACUGGCCAUUAGGCUCUGUAUACCUCCAUUUUCCCCUUAUGGACUUUACAGGUAUAAUAGAUGUUAAUAUUGAUGAUGCAAUUUGAAGAUGGAAAGCACUGUAUAAAUGCUAAGUGUUACCUGGGCAACAUAUUUUUCUGCAUUCAGUUUGGUCAUAUAGAUCAGAUUCCUCUGCCAAUGCUGGAAUCACACAGUGAACUCCUGAAACAUAUGGUUCAAUUCAUAUUAACUGGCUAGAAUGAAAGAGCACCAUCACUAGCUCACCACAUGUUGGUUCAAGUUUUAGAUGCAGAAAAGGUUGAAAAGCUAUGGAGGUGAAGCAUGUCAUGUUGUUUGUAGGUUAUAUGGGUGCAAUGACUAUAGAAGUGUAUGCUGUGUUAUACAAACAAUUUAUUAAAGACAACCGAGGUCGUUUGUUGUUCAGACUGGUUACUGAAGAGUGCAGGAAUGCCAACUACAUUAGGGUUUGCAGACGUCUUGAUUGAGCUGCCAUGAAAGGACAGGUAGGUAAUAGCUGCCUGAGAGUAUUGAUAGGCCAUAUCAGAACAGCUGGAAAAAACAAGCGGCAAUGCAAUUCAUCUUUAGCUAGUUGGCAAGCCAAAUGUCUAAGCCACUGACUGGAGCAUUACAUAAAGGGGCUGUUAUGUUAGACACUUCUUGAAAAAGAAUUCACUGCAGUGCAUUUUUGGGUUGUAAUCAUUUAUUUCCUCCAAAAAGAAGAAGCCUAUGUAUGGUAAGUUGUUUGCCAUCUCUCCCUACCCAUGUGCCUUUGUACUUGUGAUGUGCUGCCUUUAUAAAUCUGAGUUUUGAAGGUGAAAUAGCAGGUCACCUUAUUAGUUUCUAAGUUCUUGCAGCUUGAAACAUGAGCUGCUACAUUAGCUUGAUUUCAAUAGUGAACAGUGUUUAUUCAGAGCUAGAUUUACAAAGGAGUAUAGUGAAAUUUUGAAAAAAAACACUCUUUACAUGAUAGUACAGUUUGUGUUGUAUCAUGGCCUUAGCAUAAAAGAAACAGAAAACAGCACCUUCAUGAUAAUUCUGUUCUUUGAUGUACAUUUUUUCCAGAGGCAUGGUCUAGGAAUCAGAAUUCAGAACUGAGAGCCAGGGAUUCCUGGGUUAAACUUGACGCUGAAAGACCGUGGAGGAAUCUUGCCCCCAAUGAAUCAACAGGAGUUUUACCAGCGAUUUAACACAGCCAGAAUUUCACUGUGUGUUUUCUUAGACAAAUCACGUAAUGCCUCAGCACUCCAAUUUUAAAAAUAUGGAUAACACUUGCCUACCUCAAAAGGAUUAUGAAGAUUAAUGUUUGUAAGGCUGUUUAUAAGGGCUAAAUACCAGGACCUCAGUAACUUCCAAGAUGCCAGCAGAAGGGCUAGAAAUAAAAUUGUACAGGGUAUUGAAUGUGAGUGAGGGAAGCAUGUCUUAAAUACUGCACAUCACUCAGGAGGAACUCCCUAUAAAUAUCCAAAAAUCUCCACAUCACUCUCCCCUGGUAUUGACUUGUCCAGGAACAGUCACAUUGUUGGCAGUCAGUGGGGAGUUUGUAAAGCAGGUAUUUCCAGUUCUUAAUUGAAGAGAAGGUAGGAGAGAUGCGUCUAAACAAGACCUUGUCCUGAGAUCUACUACAUAAAAUGUGGGCGUUUACUAACGCACAUUAAAUACAGUAGCAGUUUUGAGGAACCAGCCUUCAGUACUAAGAUCAUAUGCUGUAGACAGUUUUAGUCAAAUUACUGGUUACGAAUUGUAAAAUAGGGAUUUCCACACCACCACCACAAUGUUGCUUCCCUUCUCUUUGUUGGCUUUAACCUUCUAAGUUAUACAGCAGUGAAACUUCCUAUACAGUAGUUCAUUACUCACAGGUAGUUGUGCUUCAGACAGUGGUAAAUAAUUCAAAUCAUACUCUCCCUAAGUAAAAUGAAGGGUUUUUCCAAAUUACAGAGGAAUAUCUAUAGUAAAGUUUUAAAAAGACCUGCUUAGAUGAGAGAACCAAAAGGGGAAAGAAAUGAGGGCGCUCCUGUCCAUAUACUCGGCAAUUGCUCUCUAACACUCUCAGUAGUAAUGAUCAAGGCCUAGCGUAGUUUUCUCUGGGAUUAAUGACUUGCUUGGAGAAUAGAGAGACUAAAAUGAAGCCAACAAACAUUGACCCAUGAGAAUGAAACUAUGAGACUGAAACACUUUCAUUUAAUACCAAAAACACUUAUCCUAAAACAAUGUUACAUUAUUGUAAAAAGUUAUGGUAGGAUGAGGCACUCCAUCAGAGAGAUACUAGAGCAGUGGAAACAAUGUUGUCCCCAGGCUCAGACACUGUGCUGAGGAGCACAGUAGAAGAACUUCAAGAAGUAACACAGGAGA